CUUACAUUGAAGUCUCUUAUAGGUUCUUCAUUCCUGCUGGCUCUUCUCUUCACCUUUUAUAGGUUGAAUGGAAUAACAGGUUUACUACCACAUGAACAAAUGGAAAUACUGCUUUCCAGGCAUUAAAGUUAAUAAACACUGGUAAAGGAGCAGAGCUGCUUUCUGGCACAAGGCAAUGAAAUUUAUUGGAGCAAGGAAAGCUUUGUUUACAGAAAGUUUCUAGCUCUGCCACAGUCUUACCUUGAGCUUUGAAACAGACUGUUACUUCACCAUUGAAUUCUUAAAGGAGGUCUUUAAUCCAGAGACAACUUUUCAAGGAUACCAGAUGCAAACCAAAUCUGUUUAGAGGAUUUAUCUCGUCUUUCUGUUGCCUUCUGCUACUUGUCAGAUGUGUAUGUUUAAAUAAGGGAUUGUUCUGACAUAACCCAUUGAAUUGGCCUGCUUGAUGCUGUGAAAUUGUAGUUCUGUAGUCAUGGUUGUGUCCUCUAUCUCAGGAAAAGUAGAAGUUGGGUCAGCUAACUUGUCCCCUGUGGGAUUUCCACUAGAAUAUAUGAAGGAUGUUCUUUUUUUGUUUGUUUUGUUUAACUCUGCAAAUAUAGUAGACCACAAGAAUCCAUGGAAAUCAGUGGUCCUUCAGAGAGAAAUCAGAGCAAAACUAUUAUACAUGUGUGUAUAUAUGUUUGCUGGAAAGUUGCACUAAAAUCACUUGUAAUCCACCCCAUUUUGCUGCUUUUUCCAACAACUGAAGACAUUAUUUAACAGCCUGAUGAUCUGUAAGUAAGCCCAUUUUUCUUUGAAGUGUCAUUUUGUGAUUAUUCUGUUAAAUUCAAAUGGCAAACUGAGUAAAAAUGUAGUUCAGAAAGGAAUCAGAGUGAAAUGUAUGUGGAAUCAAGAUACUCCAUGCAUCAAACUCAGGUGGUAAGCAUGCUUGAGCUAACCCAGAGAACUUGAAGAAGGCUUGACACGUGCAGCCAUUUGAGUACCAGUGCCAAGAGGAAGUGACAAAGCAGCUCCUAGGGCAAUAUGGAUCUCCAGCUGAUCAGCUAAGAUCUCCUUCUUCAGUGAUGCUCCCGUUCUCAUUUUCUUCAAACUCAGAUAUUCCAACAGGGAAGAGAAUGUUUUCACAGUCCGAG
ensembl:lncRNA